rnacentral:rRNA from 1 species
GACGAACGCUGGCGGCGUGCCUAAUACAUGCAAGUCGAACGCAGUGGGGACGGGUGAGUAACACGUGGGUAACCUCCCAUCAGAGGGGAUAACACUUGGAAACAGGUGCUAAACCGAUACUGAUGGAUGGACCCGCGGUGCAUUAGCUAGUUGGUGAGGUUACGUCUCACCAAGGCCACGAUGCAUCGCCGACCUGAGAGGGUGAUCGGCCAGCAUGGGAAUGAGACCAGGCCCAGACUCCUCCGGGAGGCAGCAGUAGGGAAGCUUCGGCAAUGGACGAAAGUCUGACCGAGCAACGCCGCUUGAGUGAAGAAGGUUUUCGGAGCGUAAAACUCUGUUGUUAGAGAAGCGGUAUCUAACCAGAAAGCCACGGCGAACUACGUGCCAGCAGCCGCGGUAAUUC